rnacentral:lncRNA from 1 species
CUCGUAUCACACCAGUUGCAAAUAACUGAAAUAACGUCAGUCAUCAGCAUCACUUGAACACAUCCGGAGCCCGUUACACAUGCAGACAUAAAGGGAUGAUGAUGAUGAUGUUACAGAUCAUUUUGCUCCUGACUGAAUCUGUUCUGGUCUCUUCAUACGCAUUAAACUCCACAGUUCAGUGUGAAAGACCCGAUGCAAAGACGACACGGCGAGUGAGAGCUGGAGAAUCCAUAUAUCUGCCCUGUCCGAAUCUCCAGUGCUAUGAAGAGACUGAAAACAGCUCGUAUGUUUGGUUUAGAAACCUCAGCAGAACAAAGCAGGUGGAGCGGAUCGGGACGGAGGAGAGCGAGCGUGUCCAUUACAACCAGUCUGUUUUAUACAUCCUCUGGUUAAACCUGAACGACACGGGACGAUACAUCACACGCUGGUGGUAUGCAGAGGAUGAGUGUGGUGAAUUUGAAACUGAAGUUGUGGUUUAUGAGGAGUUCAGCACGGAUCUCUUGUACUACACAAUGCCCGAACAGAAGGUGUCGGGAAUCUACUGUCCCGUGUGUGAAAAUCAGCAGGGCUCGAUCGUCUGGUAUAAGGUCUGUUUGGGUGGAUGUUCAGUACAUUUGACUGCAUGUGCACUCACAGUGUGUGAGUCACAAAAGAGAGAGAGAGAGACGCUGAUUACUCAACAUUAGAUCAGAUCAAUGAUGUUACACAAGAAGAAUUUCCUGUUUACUUGGAAAUAUUUCAUAUCACAGAAGAAGAAUUUCAUGUUGACUGAAGCAAAACCGCA